GAUGAACGCUGGCGGCGUGCCUAAUACAUGCAAGUCGAGCGAACAGAUAAGGAGCUUGCUCCUUUGACGUUAGCGGCGGACGGGUGAGUAACACGUGGAUAACCUACCUAUAAGACUGGGAUAACUUCGGGAAACCGGAGCUAAUACCGGAUAACAUAUUGAACCGCAUGGUUCAAUAGUGAAAGGCGGCUUUGCUGUCACUUAUAGAUGGAUCCGCGCCGUAUUAGCUAGUUGGUAAGGUAACGGCUUACCAAGGCAACGAUACGUAGCCGACCUGAGAGGGUGGUCGGCCACACUGGAACUGAGACACGGUCCAGACUCCUACGGGAGGCAGCAGUAGGGAAUCUUCCGCAAUGGGCGAAAGCCUGACGGAGCAACGCCGCGUGAGUGAUGAAGGUCUUCGGAUCGUAAAACCCUGUUGUCAGGGAAGAACAAAUGUGUAAGUAACUGUGCACAUCUUGACGGUACCUGAUCAGAAAGCCACGGCUAACUACGUG
rnacentral:rRNA from 1 species